GACGAACGCUGGCGGCGUGCUUAACACAUGCAAGUCGAACGGUGAAGCGCCGUCCUUGUUGGUGGGUCGGGAGGAGUGGCGAACUGGUGAAUAACACGUUAGUAACCUUCUCCCUUCGUCUGGAUAACGGCAUGCCGGUGUUGAUAAUACGGGAUAUACUGAGUCUGUCGCAUGAUGGGUCUAGGACGGAUUUGGUGUCGGUUGUGGAUGGUCUCGCGGCGUAUCAGCUUGUUGGUGGGGUGAUGGCUUACCAAGGCGGUGACGAGUAGCCGGCCUGAGAGGGUGGACCGUCACAGUGGGGCUGAGAGGCGCACCAGACUCCGACGGGAGGCAGUAGUGGGGCAUACGGCACGAUGGGAGGAAGGCUGAAGCAGCGACGCCGCGGGAGGGAUGGUGGUCGGAGGGUUGAGAACCGCUUUCGGGAGAGAAGCAGGCUGGAAGUGUUUGUGCGCGGGUUGACGGUAGCUGGAUAAGAAGCCACGGCUAACUACGUG
rnacentral:rRNA from 1 species